GUGGGGAAUCUUGCGCAAUGGGCGAAAGCCUGACGCAGCCAUGCCGCGUGAAUGAUGAAGGUCUUAGGAUUGUAAAAUUCUUUCACCGGGGACGAUAUGACGGUACCCGGAGAAGAAGCCCCGGCUAACUUCGUGCCAGCAGCCGCGGUAAUACGAAGGGGGCUAGCGUUGCUCGGAAUUACUGGGCGUAAAGGGCGCGUAGGCGGACAGUUUAGUCAGAGGUGAAAGCCCAGGGCUCAACCUUGGAAUUGCCUUUGAUACUGGCUAUCUUGAGUAUGGAAGAGGUAUGUGGAACUCCGAGUGUAGAGGUGAAAUUCGUAGAUAUUCGGAAGAACACCAGUGGCGAAGGCGACAUACUGGUCCAUUACUGACGCUGAGGCUCGAAAGCGUGGGGAGCAAACAGGAUUAGAAACCCCUGUAGUCC
rnacentral:rRNA from 1 species